AACUUUCAACAACGGAUCUCUUGGUUCUGGCAUCGAUGAAGAACGCAGCAAAAUGCGAUAAGUAAUGUGAAUUGCAGAAUUCAGUGAAUCAUCGAAUCUUUGAACGCACAUUGCGCCCGCCAGUGUUCUGGCGGGCAUGCCUGUUCGAGCGUCAUUU
rnacentral:rRNA from 1 species